rnacentral:misc_RNA from 1 species
CAACCCUCAAGCUCAGCUUGGUGUUGGGACUCGCGGUAACCCGCGUUCCCCAAAUCGAUUGGCGGUCACGUCGAGCUUCCAUAGCGUAGUAAUCAUACACCUCGUUACUGGUAAUCGUCGCGGCCACGCCGUAAAACCCCAACUUCUGAAUG